rnacentral:rRNA from 1 species
CGAGAGAGAGCUUGCUUUCUCGAGCGAGUGGCGAACGGGUGAGUAACGCGUGAGGAACCUGCCUCAAAGAGGGGGACAACAGUUGGAAACGACUGCUAAUACCGCAUAAGCCCACGGGUCGGCAUCGACCAGAGGGAAAAGGAGCAAUCCGCUUUGAGAUGGCCUCGCGUCCGAUUAGCUAGUUGGUGAGGUAACGGCCCACCAAGGCAACGAUCGGUAGCCGGACUGAGAGGUUGAACGGCCACAUUGGGACUGAGACACGGCCCAGACUCCUACGGGAGGCAGCAGUGGGGAAUAUUGCACAAUGGGGGAAACCCUGAUGCAGCGACGCCGCGUGGAGGAAGAAGGUCUUCGGAUUGUAAACUCCUGUUGUUGAGGAAGAUAAUGACGGUACUCAACAAGGAAGUGACGGCUAACUACGUGCCAGCAGCCGCGGUAAAACGUAGGUCACAAGCGUUGUCCGGAAUUACUGGGUGUAAAGGGAGCGCAGGCGGGAAGACAAGUUGGAAGUGAAAUCCAUGGGCUCAACCCAUGAACUGCUUUCAAAACUGUCUUUCUUGAGUAGUGCAGAGGUAGGCGGAAUUCCCGGUGUAGCGGUGGAAUGCGUAGAUAUCGGGAGGAACACCAGUGGCGAAGGCGGCCUACUGGGCACCAACUGACGCUGAGGCUCGAAAGUGUGGGUAGCAAACAGGAUUAGAUACCCUGGUAGUCCACACCGUANACGAUGAUUACUAG